GAUGAACGCUGGCGGCGUGCCUAACACAUGCAAGUCGAGCGAUCUUCUUCGGAAGAGAGCGGCGGACGGGUGAGUAACGCGUGGGUAACCUGCCCUGUACACACGGAUAACAUACCGAAAGGUAUGCUAAUACGAGAUAAUAUACUUUUAUCGCAUGGUAGAAGUAUCAAAGCUCCGGCGGUACAGGAUGGACCCGCGUCUGAUUAGCUAGUUGGUAAGGUAACGGCUUACCAAGGCGACGAUCAGUAGCCGACCUGAGAGGGUGAUCGGCCACAUUGGAACUGAGACACGGUCCAAACUCCUACGGGAGGCAGCAGUGGGGAAUAUUGCACAAGGGGCGAAAGCCUGAUGCAGCAACGCCGCGUGAGCGAUGAAGGCCUUCGGGUCGUAAAGCUCUGUCCUCAAGGAAGAUAAUGACGGUACUUGAGGAGGAAGCCCCGGCUAACUACGUGCCAGCCGCCGCAGUAAUAC
rnacentral:rRNA from 1 species